GAGUUUGAUCAUGGCUCAGAUUGAACGCUGGCGGCAGGCCUAACACAUGCAAGUCGAGCGGAAACGAGUUAUCUGAACCUUCGGGGAACGAUAGCGGCGUCGAGCGGCGGACGGGUGAGUAAUGCCUGGGAAUAUGCCUUGAUGCGGGGGAUAACCAUUGGAAACGAUGGCUAAUACCGCAUAAUGCCUUCGGGCCAAAGAGGGGGACCUUCGGGCCUCUCGCGUCAAGAUUAGCCCAGGUGGGAUUAGCUAGUUGGUGAGGUAAAGGCUCACCAAGGCGACGAUCUCUAGCUGGUCUGAGAGGAUGAUCAGCCACACUGGAACUGAGACACGGUCCAGACUCCUACGGGAGGCAGCAGUGGGGAAUAUUGCACAAUGGGCGCAAGCCUGAUGCAGCCAUGCCGCGUGUAUGAAGAAGGCCUUCGGGUUGUAAAGUACUUUCAGCAGUGAGGAAGGCGGGUGCGUUAAUAGCGUAUUCGUUUGACGUUAGCUGCAGAAGAAGCACCGGCUAACUCCGUGCCAGCAGCCGCGGUAAUACGGAGGGUGCGAGCGUUAAUCGGAAUUACUGGGCGUAAAGCGCAUGCAGGUGGUUUGUUAAGUCAGAUGUGAAAGCCCGGGGCU
rnacentral:rRNA from 1 species